rnacentral:rRNA from 1 species
GUCCACGCCGUAAACGAUGAGAACUAGGUGUCGUGGGAGUUGACCCCCGCGGUGCCGUAGCUAACGCAUUAAGUUCUCCGCCUGGGAAGUACGGUCGCAAGACUAAAACUCAAAGGAAUUGACGGGGCCCGCACAAGCGGUGGAGCAUGUGGUUUAAUUCGACGCAACGCGCAGAACCUUACCUGGUCUUGACAUCCUUGGAAUCCUUCAGAGAUGAGGGAGUGCCCGCAAGGGAACCAAGAGACAGGUGCUGCAUGGCUGUCGU